AAAUCCACAACCGAAUGCCAAAAAUCCCCUAAUUUUAGACUUUUUUGGGGUCUAAAGAAGAGCCCGUGGCCCCAUCAGUGGCUUGGCUGGGGAUGCGGUUGGGUUUGGAGCUGCCAGCGAGAUGGACUCCAGCGUCCUCCCAGCAUCGUGUGUCCCUCCCGGAGCCCCAGUCACUGUCACCGGACACCAGCAUGAGUCAGGCUCCCGGCAGGGACCGAGCCAGCUCCCCACGGGAAGGGGACAGAAAGUGUCCCCGGCCCCCCAACAGCCACCCUGGAUGGGGGAAGAGCCCCCACCCCCGUCCUCACUCCAAGGGCGGGUGCAAGCAGGGAAACUGGGGGGGGAAGGAGCCACAAGCCACAAGCCGAAGAAAAUGGGGAAGGCAAGAGGCCAACACUGGCCGGCCGGCAUGGCGAUCCCUUACCCGAGGCCGAAGCAGCUGAGGAGGAGGAGGGAACGUCACCUUCCUCAUCACCGCGAUCUUGGUCUUCUCCAAACCAUCCUUGGUGCCGCUUUUAGCCGCUUUCAUCAGCUGUGUCAUCUGGGCAGGGGGGCAAGAGGGACCAGGAGGCUCGAGGCAGCACCGAGACCCCAUUUCAGUCUAUUCAGGUCUGGAGAAAGCUGAGCCCAAAGCAAACCAGGCGGGAGGAGAAGGCAGAGGAGGCGAGAGAAGGCAGAGAAGAGAUCCAAGUAAGCAGCAAAAAAAAAAGGAAAAAAAAAAAAGGAAAGAAGAAAAAAAAACAACACAGAGGAGGAGAAAUCAUCCCAAAGCAGCACAGUACAGGCAGCAUCUUCCCAAAAAUCUGGCUUUGCUUGAGCAGGGAAGGGAGCAAGCGCAGGGAAAGGCAGCAGCCACGCUCCAGCAAUGCCAAAAUGCAACAGGAAACGGGGGAAAAAAAAGGGGGGGAGAGGGGAAGGAAGGAAAAAAAAAUAAAUAAUGAACCACCAAAGUUUCAGGCUGGCUUUGCAGCAGGUGACCCCAGGAACCACAGCAUCCUCUGCGGGAGCAGCUGGGCUUGAUGCUCCAGUGCCUUUA